CUUGCUGAAAGAUACAUACAACGACGAAAAUGGUUUUUUGGAACUUUUAUUAAAUAUAAUUUAAAUAUUAUUUACGUAUCAUUGGCGAGGAAAUAGUAAUUUAGCGAUGAAAAAUGUAUUAGAUUAGGCGAGGAAAAAUAUUGUGGCUAAAGAAUAAUAGCGAGAAAAGAAUAUAUUCAUCGCUAAAAGGAUUUCGCGAGGAAAAAAUAUUUUCCUCGUAAAAACUUUUCUUGACCACCGUACCGCGAGGAACUGGUGACCAAAGUUUUUUCCUCGCUAAAACACUACGGCGAAGAAAUAUAAGUUUUUAACGACAAAUUUGUUCCUCGCCAAUUGACUUUUCUGUUGUAGUGGCUCUUUCACUUUCUCUCUCCUUAUACAUGUUGAAGUGGUAAGGCUAAAAUUGUUUAAAAAUAUAUAAAAAUUAUUAUUUUAUUAUGACUUUAAUAUAGAUUUGUGUAUUUGGGUACAAAUAAGAACACCUUAUAUUGGAAUGAGCUCAUGUCUAUUAAAUUCAUUGGAAUGAGCAAUAAGGGGUUUAAAUUAGUAUUAAAUGAGCAUUUUUCCUAAAAAUUAGGCAUGAAACUAUGAUACUACGUACCUAAUACAUAGUGUACAAGAGUGCUUAAACGUAAUUAGAUCAGCUAAAAACAUAUUAAGGUAAUAACACAAAGCUAUACAAUUUUCAAGCUACCAAGGCAUGCGGCCCACCAAAGAAAUCCACACAAGGCCCAGAUCGAAAUUGAUGUGGACCAGUCCACCAUCAGCCUUCUCCCUGUCACACCCGGCCAAAACCACUGCCAUGUCUCUUGUCAUCUCCUCGAUCAGAUCCACGUCGUCGUCCCAUCGCUGAUGAUCCACACGACCACAAGCCACACAACCCUAUCCUACCUCUAUACUAGCACAGAUAUGAAACUCCAACACAGUUUUUGGAUCCCAAACGACCAACAACUAACCUCAAAGAAGUCUCUAUCCGGCCAAGCAUAACCACCAAUCUUCAAUUAACCUCGCUCGAGCAGAAGACAUUGUUAGACAACAUCCCAGGAGCAAUAGCAUUCGAAUACCACAAAUAUUAGUUGAUCUCGUCCGGCAGCAGACCCUAGACGAGGUGGCGGAGGCCGAAGACCUCUGCCAACGUCUGGGCGCNNNN
rnacentral:lncRNA from 1 species